rnacentral:rRNA from 1 species
UAAGGAAUAUUGGACAAUGGCCGCAAGGCUGAUCCAGCCAUGCCGCGUGCAGGAUGAAGGUGCUCUGCAUCGUAAACUGCUUUUAUCUGGGAAUAAACCCCUCUACGUGUAGAGGGCUGAAUGUACCAGAAGAAUAAGGAUCGGCUAACUUCGUGCCAGCAGCCGCGGUAAUACGAAGGAUCCAAGCGUUAUCCGGAUUUAUUGGGUUUAAAGGGUGCGUAGGCGGCUUAUUAAGUCAGUGGUGAAAGCCUGAAGCUCAACUUCAGAAUUGCCAUUGAUACUGAUGAGCUUGAGUAUAGUUGAGGUGGGCGGAAUGUGUCAUGUAGCGGUGAAAUGCUUAGAUAUGACACAGAACACCGAUUGCGAAGGCAGCUCACUAAGCUAUAACUGACGCUGAUGCAC